UGUCAUAGAUUAAGGAAUGAAUAGAUGGCUCACUCCUUUGAUGUUUUUGACGCUGCCGGCGCCCACGCAUGUUCUUGCCAGAGUAAUGGCGGCCUAGCAAGUAACUGUAGUAAAAUGCAUUGUAAAAUUGACAUCGGUGCUACUAAAUUCUGUAUUUUUAUAAUUCUGAUUUAUCUUUCUAUUAAACCCGCCAAAAGCGGAAAAAUACAGGAUUUAAUAGCACGGAUGUCAAUUUUACAAUGCAUUUUACUACAGUUACUUGCUAGGCCGCCAUUACUCUGGCAAGAACAUGCGUGGGCGCCGGCAGCGUCAAAAACAUCAAAGGAGUGAGCCAUCUAUUCAUUCCUUAAUCUAUGGUAGUGUU